rnacentral:rRNA from 1 species
CAUUAUUGAAUUUUGAAAAUAGGUUGUAGCUGAUCACAAUAGAUAUGUGCACGCCUAGUUUUCCGAACAUCACACCAUGUGCACUUUUUGUAGGCCAAGAAAUUGGUCUAUGUAUUUUUAAUACACUUCAAAAGUAUAGAAUGUUAUUAUCAAUAAGCUUUGCUUAAAUUUAUAUACAACUUUCAACAACGGAUCUCUUGGCUCUCGCAUCGAUGAAGAACGCAGCGAAAUGCGAUAAGUAAUGUGAAUUGCAGAAUUCAGUGAAUCAUCGAAUCUUUGAACGCACCUUGCGCUCCUUGGUAUUCCGAGGAGCAUGCCUGUUUGAGUGUCAUUAAAUCAUCAAUCCUUUAAAAAGGCUUUGGACUUUGGAGUUGCUGGCUUGAAAAAAGUUGGGCUUCUCUUAAUUGUAUUAGCUUGUGUCCUUUGCAGAUAAGCUUUAGUUUGAUAGAUGUCUACUAUAGCUGUGAAGCAAAUGCUAGCUUCCAAUUGUACAACUUUAAUCUUUGACCUCAAAUCAGGUAGGACUACCCGCUGA